rnacentral:rRNA from 1 species
AGAGUUUGAUCCUGGCUCAGAACGAACGCUGGCGGCAUGCCUAACACAUGCAAGUCGAACGAGACCUUCGGGUCUAGUGGCGCACGGGUGCGUAACGCGUGGGAAUCUGCCCUUGGGUUCGGGAUAACAGUUGGAAACGACUGCUAAUACCGGAUGAUGACUUCGGUCCAAAGAUUUAUCGCCCAGGGCAUGAGCCCGCGUAGGAUUAGCUAGUUGGUGAGGUAAAGGCUCACCAAGGCGACGAUCCUUAGCUGGUCUGAGAGGAUGAUCAGCCACACUGGGACUGAGACGCGGCCCAGACUCCUACGGGAGGCAGCAGUGGGGAAUAUUGGACAAUGGGCGAAAGCCUGAUCCAGCAAUGCCGCGUGAGUGAUGAAGGCCUUAGGGUUGUAAAGCUCUUUUACCCGGGAUGAUAAUGACAGUACCGGGAGAAUAAGCCCCGGCUAACUCCGUGCCAGCAGCCGCGGUAAUACGGAGGGGGCUAGUGUUGUUCGGAAUUACUGGGCGUAAAGCGCGCGUAGGCGGCUUUGUAAGUUAGAGGUGAAAGCCCGGAGCUCAACUCCGGAAUUGCCUUUAAAACUGCAUCGCUAGAAUCAUGGAGAGGUUAGUGGAAUUCCGAGUGUAGAGGUGAAAUUCGUAGAUAUUCGGAAGAACCCCAGUGGCGAAGGCGACUAACUGGACAUGUAUUGACGCUGAAGUGCGAAAGCGUGGGGAGCAA